rnacentral:lncRNA from 1 species
CACCUGAAGCAUAUGGAAGGUCCCAGGCUAGGGGUCAAAUCAGAGCUACGGCUGCUGGCCUACACCACCGCCAGAGCAACGCCAGAUCCAAGCCACGUUUGCAACCUAUACCACAGCUCAUGGCAAUGCCAGGUCCUUAACCCACUGAGUGAGCCCAGGGAUCAAACCCGAGUCCUCAUGGAUACUAGUGGGGUUUGUUACCACUGAGCCAUGGCGGGAACUCCCUAAAAAUUUCUUUUUCUUUUUACAGCUGCACCUGCAGCAUAUGGAAGUUCCCAGACCAGAGGUCGAAUUGGAGCGCCAGCUGCUGCCUACACCACAGUCAUGGCAACAAUGAAUCCAAGUUACAUCUGAAACCUAGGCCAAAGCUUAUGGCAUGGGUCACCCAUCUGCUGUCAUCUGUGGGAAGGGACCAGUAAGGUCACAUGUGGCUUCCUACCUGGUGCUGAACACCAGCCAGCUCCCUCCUUUCUGGGUGUGCGCUUCAGAAUGGCAAGGAGACCUUAAACCUGCUUCUGCAGCACUUUGGACUGAACUAUCUUCUGUUGCCUCAAUCUCUGUUCCAGGACAGGGAGAGAAGGCCCACAGUCUUUGUCUGCUCUGUCACUAAGCAAUUUUCUUCCUCUCAGUGCUCGUGGCUGGACGAUGGUAACAUCUUGAGACUCCUGUUAUGGCUCAGUAAGAAGCAUGAAGACUCCGUUAGACGUUGAACUCAAGCCUCUGUUUUGGACCGAACUUCGAGAACUUUUAUAAAGUGGAACAUUCUGUCUUCCAUCAGUUUCUGUUUCCAUGGCACACACAUCUCUCUAGGCACUUCCUAGGGAGAAUGAAUAUGUAGGGUAGGAUUCCAGAAUUUCUGCUCCCCAGGCAAUGAUAUUAAUAUGAUAAUUAAUAGUACCAAACACUUUAAGAAGACUGGGUUAAUUAAUAGAGGAAUUCCAUCAGACUUUUAAAGGAGAUCGAUGACAUAAAUAGUAAGGGGCCGGUUUUGUCAUGAGUUUCCUUUUCCUCAAGCAUCGUGUCAGGGUUUGGUCUUACUCAAAAAACCUUUCCUACCCCUCGACCAAAGAAAAUCUCUGCAAUAUAGCUCAGGAAAUUUGAGCAUUGAAGGGAUAUUCAUAAAUACUUUAAAACUGUCCUUGAUUUUUGUUACUGAAUUUUGAAAAAUGUGAAUUAAAAACACCGCGCUCAACUAAACUCACAUUAUUAUGAGAAUGAAAUGCAACAAGAGGUCAGAAAAUGCUUUGAAAACUGAGCAACAAUACAGAUAAGACUUUUAAAACAAAGAACAUGUUGCAUUAUGGAACCUAAGAUGCCAUAAAGCUAACAAACUAUCAUGGGCGUAUGAAAGGAAAUAUGGAGAAUUCAUUCCACCUGCUCAAAGAGGAACAUUUUCUUUUUUCCCUCUCUCUCUCCGUGCUUUCUGCUUUUCAUGAGUGUGUGUGUGCGUGUGUGUGUGUGUGUGUGUGUGUGUGUGUGUGUUUAGGGCCACACCUGCAACAUAUGGAAGUUCCCAGGCUAGGGGUUGAACCCAAGCUGCAGCUGCCGGCCACAGCCACAGCCACAGCCACACCAGAUCCGAGCUGUGUCUGUGACCUACACCACAGCUCACGGCAACACUGGAUCCUUAGCCCAACACUGGAUCCUUAGCCCAAUGAGUGAGGCCAGGGAUGGAACCUGCGUCCUCACGGACACUAGUGGGGUUCAUUACCACUGAGCCACAGCAGGAACUCCCAAAGAGGAAUAUUUCUGCUUCUUAGUCAUCCUUCUCUGCAAUCCCACUAUUGGACUAGUCAUGUCUAUUAAAUUCUGCCACCGAGGAAAUUUUUUAAUUAUUUGGAACAAGAAUCUUUAAACAGGUACCAAGCAUCAAUGGCUCCAAAUUGUUUCAUUCUUGAUACACUUUGUUUCUGCUAAAGUGGGGAGGAGAUGGAGACGAAAUCGAAUAAAGAACAAGAAAUUCCAGAGCUUAAACCGGGUGGCUAGGUGGCAGAGGCUGUCGGUUUCUUUAAAGAAAUACCUUCCUCGGAAAGUCAGGGAGGAGAAUCAAUUUUUACUCUCACUAUCAAGUCCCAAGUCCAAAUAAUACAUCCGCUGGACACUAGCUGGGUCAGAAAAAGAUGUUCUCUGCAGCUAAGCUCUUAUUCUAGUGAGGAAAUGUUUUGUGUGCACAUUGUUAUGUCCUCAUUCAUCCAGUGGGAACGUCACAAAUGUUCAUGAAUCUGGUUUGACAUGGUCGCACUGCCCUAGACGAGCCAUAAUGCUGUUGAAUUUAAAACAUCAUCAACGUAAGACAAAGUGGUCCAUUCUUCACGUGCCCUGAUGCCCUAGUGAACUCAUUAUCAGCUAUGGCUGGCACUGCGUCCCCCUAGUUCAUAUGUUGAAGCUUUACCCCUCACGGUGAUUGGAUUUGAAGAUGGGGCCUCUUCAGGGGUCAUUAAGGCUAAAGGAGGUCAUGAGGCUAGGAACCUGAGCCAAUGGGAUUGGGGUCCUUUUAAGAAGAGGACGAUACACCAGAACACUCUCCCUCUUCCUUCCUCCCUUCCUCUCUCUCUCCAUGUGUAGGCACAGAGGAAAGACCAUGUGAGGACCUGUGAGGAGUGGCCACCUGCACGACAGAGAGAGGGGCCUCACCGGAAACCAACCCUGCUGGCCCCUCGACUUGGAAAUAAACACCUGCUGUUUAAGUCCUGUGCCCUGGGGUAUCUUGCGAUGGGAGUCCUUCCUGAUGAAGACACUGUCCCUUGCUUAGGUGCAUCAUCAGCCUCGUUAUGGACCUUGGGGAGAAUAAGAGUAGCCCAGCAACAAGGAAGCAGGGGCUUCACUGCAGGAAGAAGUGAUGGAAAGCGUGGGACGCUCCAAGCACUGAUGCAAAGAAUGGCGAUUGUACCAACAGCCACUGGGUGAGGUAGCAGCAAACAAUGUUGAGGAUGAAAAUGAAGAAGAACAGGAGUUCCUGCUGUGGCACAACAGGAUAGGCAGCCUCUUGGGAGUGCUGGAACGCAGGUUCGAUCCCCAGCCCAGGACCACGGGUUAAGGAUCCAGCGUUGCAGCUGUGGCUUAGGUUGCGACUGAGGCUUGGAUAUGAUCCCUGGCCCUGGAGCUCCAUAUGCCGCGGGGCAGCCAAAAUGAAAAAAAAAAGAAGAGUUACGGUUAAAUUAUUUUCGUUCUAUACUUAGAGAACCACAAAGGGUAAGACGGGAUUACUGAUAUUUUUCUCUCACUUUAUUGAAUCUGGGGCGAUAUUUUUUCCUGCAGGGAUCCCAGGGCAUAUCAUAUUUUCCCUCUUCUCUUCCUGUGCUUAGAGCUUCCCCACUCCAAUUUUACCUUGCUAUCUUCUUGUAUUUCAGAAUUUUACUUAGUUACCAAUUCCUCUACAGGCCUCUUUGUCACUGAAACUUACUGUUUAAGGCUUAUUUUAAAGCCGCAAUAAACAAUCAGAGACUGACUCUUAAAGGGCCCC